CAGUCGCCGCGGUAAUACGUAGGGUGCGAGCGUUAAUCGGAAUUACUGGGCGUAAAGCGUGCGCAGGCGGUUGUGUAAGACAGGUGUGAAAUCCCCGGGCUUAGCCUGGGAACUGCGCUUGUGACUGCACAGCUAGAGUAUGGCAGAGGGGGGUGGAAUUCCACGUGUAGCAGUGAAAUGCGUAGAGAUGUGGAGGAACACCGAUGGCGAAGGCAGCCCCCUGGGCCAAUACUGACGCUCAUGCACGAAAGCGUGGGGAGCAAACAGGAUUAGAUACCCCCGUAGUCCCUGUCUCUUAUAC
rnacentral:rRNA from 1 species